UGGGGAAUUUUGGACAAUGGGCGAAAGCCUGAUCCAGCAAUGCCGCGUGUGUGAAGAAGGCCUUCGGGUUGUAAAGCACUUUUGUCCGGAAAGAAAUCCUUGGCUCUAAUACAGUCGGGGGAUGACGGUACCGGAAGAAUAAGCACCGGCUAACUACGUGCCAGCAGCCGCGGUAAUACGUAGGGUGCAAGCGUUAAUCGGAAUUACUGGGCGUAAAGCGUGCGCAGGCGGUUUGCUAAGACCGAUGUGAAAUCCCCGGGCUCAACCUGGGAACUGCAUUGGUGACUGGCAGGCUAGAGUAUGGCAGAGGGGGGUAGAAUUCCACGUNUAGCAGUGAAAUGCGUAGAGAUGUGGAGGAAUACCGAUGGCGAAGGCAGCCCCCUGGGCCAAUACUGACGCUCAUGCACGAAAGCGUGGGGAGCAAACAGGAUUAGAUACCCUGGUAGUCCACGCCCUAAAACGAUGUCAACUAGUUGUUGGGGAUUCAUUUCCUUAGUAACGUAGCUAACGCGUGAAGUUGACCGCCUGGGGAGUACGGUCGCAAGAUUAAAACUCAAAUGAAUUGACGGGGUCAUAGCUG
rnacentral:rRNA from 1 species